GCUGGGAUUACAGGUAUAAGCUACCGUGCUCAGCCUCCAGAUGAGUCUUGAGGGGGAGAACCAAAUUUUCGUUGUCAUAAAAACAUGGAAGAAGAGCUCCCUUCAUGGUCUGUCAACAAGCAUGUCCUGCCUUCUCCUCCGGACAUCUGCGCCUCUGUGCUCUAACUGGAUUAGAACUGCCAUUCAUUGUUUGAAACCCAGCUCAAAUGUCACCUCCUCUGAAAAGAAAACUGAGGCUUGGGGAGGGUAAGCAACGUGUGCAAAUUAGCAGCAGGGCAGGAGCUACUAGCGCCCAAUCAAACUGAGAAUAUUAUGCCAAUUGAAGGGGGAAAAUGUGACUAGCCCUGCAAACUGUAAACGCCUGGGUAGGAGAGCCCGUGGUUGGGGGCGUGGCGAGUGGUGGCUGGGUGAAGGGGUUCAGAGACAACAGCCUCACA